rnacentral:lncRNA from 1 species
UUUUAGCGACUUUUUCCAUUUUUCAUAAAUGACCAAAAAACAGCAAAAAAGUAAGGCUAUACCCUUUACUUUUCGUCCAGUUUUAGCGACUUUUUCCAUUUUUCAUAAAUGACCAAAAAACAGGAAAAAAGUAAGGCUAUAUACCCUUUACUUUUCGUCCAUUUUUAGCGACUUUUUCCAUGUUUCAUAAAUGCAAAAAAAAACCAGCAAAAAAGUAAGGCUAUAGCCUUUACUUUUCGUCCAUUUUUAGCGACUUUUUGCAUUUUUUAUAAAUGCCAAAAAACAGCAAAAAAGUAAGGCUAUAGCCUUAACCUUUCGUCCAUUUUUAGCGACUUUUUCCAUUUUUCAUAAAUGACCAAAAAACAGCAAAAAAGUAAGGCUAUAUACCCUUUACUUUUCGUCCAUUUUUAGCAACUUUUUGCAUUUUUUAUAAAUGAAAAAAAACCCAGCAAAAAUGUAAGGCUAUACCCUUUACUUUUCGUCCAUUUUUAGCGACUUU